UUUUUCGCAAAAUAAAAGCGAUGUUUAUCAAAUUUCGACAAAGUACAAUUGCGAUUUGCGGGUGUUUCCAUUGAAUGGUGUUCAGUGCAUAACCGAGCCGUCUGCCUCUCGCGAGCCGUGUUUAAAUGGCCGUUGCCUAGCAACAAGGUAAACUUCCUGCCCGUGCGACCUCGUAUUCCUUAAGCCUUUUUGCACACCGACAUGGACGAGACACAAAACAUUUUUCGUUUUGGAGCAGCUGUUUCUGUGACCAUUACUGCUGUUGCCGCUGCUGUCAUCAGAAGACAAAGGCAGCGGGUGAUAAUUCAAAGGCAAAGCUCGUAUGUAUGGGAGCGAACAUGGAGGAGGGAUUUCUGGGAGAGGAUCGUUAAUGAGGAAUUCACAGACGAACUGUGGAUUCAAAACUUCAGAAAAAUAUAAAUACAAUUCAAAACUUCAGAAAUAAGUCCGUCUCCUCCCCCGUCCACAUAUACCGUGCCAUCUACGCUUGAAAUGAACUGGUCACAUGACCCGCUACGUCACGUCCGGUGACAGAGAAUUGCGAGAAAAGUGUUUCCAUUACACUUUUGCGAUAAACUUCUAUAUCGACACUUCUGAAAAACCACCUCAUGAGAGCGUCAAAACUUUUUAGCGAUAUUUGGGAGGUUUUUCGAAAUGUAGGUGUUUCCAUUACCAGUUUUCUAUUGCGAUAUUUACGUUUUGCGCAAAUCUAUGGGUAAUGGAAACGCAGCUAGUGA